AGACUGAUGUAGCUCCCAAAGGAUAUCAAGUUGCAACUUCUGAAAACUGAGUAAUAAUAGAAACAUUGAUAACCCUCAAGUGAAGUCUCAUACCUUGCUGCUGUUCUCAGAAAUUAAUAGCUGCCCUGGAGCGUUUUGAACUUACAGAGUGUAUUGAGUGGGGUUUUCCUGUGAUGACUGCCUUCCUACUUCAGAACGUUUUAAUCAGAAACUCAUUUCCAUUCCACCCCAUCAUCACACACCUCUCAGCCAAGACUCCGUCUUCUGCUAGGAUGGAGGCCCCCUCCAGCAAGUUCUGAAGGUGGAGAGCAAUGAUGUGCUACAGCUGAAAGGUUCAGGGGCUCCUGCAGGUACAGGAAACAGGAGCCAUAACUGAGCAUUCAUCACGCACGAUUUGGUAAAUACUUAGCAUCCAUUACUACGAGCUACCAAUGGAGGUCUGUUUCGAGACUACCUGGGUUUUAUUGUCAGUCCCGGAAGAAGGGAAUCUGUGUCCAUACACACGCAUCCAGGCACUAGGCAAGACGGUGCCAGGGAAGGCCCGGAGCCUCGGCCCGAAGGACGGAGGUGGCGUUCGUGCAGGACCUGCGCUGGGCUGUUCUCUCCCAGCACAGCUGGCCUGGGGCCUCACAGAGCCGUGGGUGCUGACUUCCACAGAGAGCGGCGAGCCACCACCUCCACCGAGGCUGGAAUUCACCCCAAGGUGAUGCCACGGGGAACUGGUGACAGAAGGACUUGUAUUCAUGAUGGCGAAAGGAAAGUCAGCCAGAUUUUGCUACCAAACAAGGUAAAACUUCUGUAAGUUUUUUUAAAAUGCCAUAAAUAAAACUAAAAGGCAAAUGAAGGUAAUGGAAGACAUUUGCAAAAUAUUAACAAAAGAUUGAGGCCCGUGUUCCUCGGCAGAGUUCUUUCCAAUCGGUACAAACAGAACGGGGUCUUUGUUUCUCCUUCUUCUCCGGGUUGUGUGUGGAAGGCUUUGGGGAGAGUUCAGCACCUGCCACACUGGGCGGACACCUUGCCACGCGCAAGGCGAGGCUGCCCCAGCAAUCAAGUCGUGGUCACCUAGGAGAGGGGACAGCACCAGAGCUGUGAUGCGGGGUGUCCAGGCUGAGCACAGCCGGG
rnacentral:lncRNA from 1 species